GUACUGAGACACGGACCCGACUCCUACGGGAGGCAGCAGUAAGGAAUAUUGGUCAAUGGGCGAAAGCCUGAACCAGCCAUGCCGCGUGAAGGAUGAAGGCGUUAUGCGUUGUAAACUUCUUUUGUAUAGGAAGAAUGGUCGAGAUUCAUCUCGAAAGCGACGGUACUAUACGAAUAAGCACCGGCUAACUCCGUGCCAGCAGCCGCGGCAAUACGGAGGGUGCGAGCGUUAUCCGGAAUCACUGGGUUUAAAGGGUACGUAGGCGGUUAAUUAAGUCAGCAGUGAAAGCCUGUCGCUCAACGACGGAUAUGCUGUUGAAACUGGUUAACUUGAAAUGGGUUAGGGUUGGCGGAAUGGGUCAUGUAGCGGUGAAAUGCUUAGAUAUGACUUGGAACACCGAAAGCGAAGGCAGCUGACCGAACCUUGUUUGACGCUGAGGUACGAAAGUGUGGGUAGCGAACAGGAUUAGAUACCCUGGUAGUCCACACCCUAAACUAUGCAGACUGGAUGUUGGGCGGCAAUAGUUCAGCAUCUGAGGGAAACCAUUAAGUCUGCCACCUGGGGAGUACGCCGGCAACGGUGAGACUCAAAGGAAUUGACGGGGGUCCGCACAAGCGGUGGAGUAUGUGGUUUAAUUCGAUGAUACGCGAGGAACCUUACCUGGGCUCGAAUGUUACCGCUAACCUGUUGAAAGAUGGGGUUCCAGCAAUGGAGAGGUAGCAAGGUGCUGCAUGGUUGUCGUCAGCUCGUGCCGUGAGGUGUUGGGUUAAGUCCCGCAACGAGCGCAACCCCUGUUCUUAGUUGCCAGCGAGUAAUGUCGGGGACUCUAAGAAGACUGCCUCCGUAAGGAGUGAGGAAGGAAGGGACGACGUCAAAUCAUCAUGGCCUUUAUGUCCAGGGCUACACACGUACUACAAUGGUGCAUACAGAGUGAAGCAAGCUGGCGACAGUAAGCGGAUCACAAAAAGUGCAUCCCAGUUCGGAUUGGAGUCUGCAACUCGACUCCAUGAAGUUGGAAUCGCUAGUAAUCGCGCAUCAGCGAUGGCGCGGUGAAUACGUUCCCGGACCUUGUACACACCGCCCGUCAAGCCAUGGGAGUUUGGAGUGCCUGAAGAUGGUGAC
rnacentral:rRNA from 1 species